UACGUAGGGGGCAAGCGUUGUCCGGAUUUAUUGGGCGUAAAGAGCGUGUAGGCGGCUUGGUAGGUCUGCUGUGAAAACUCGAGGCUCAACCUCGAGCUGUCGGCGGAAACCACUUGGCUAGAGUCCGGAAGAGGAGAGUGGAAUUCCUGGCGUAGCGGUGAAAUGCGCAGAUAUCAGGAAGAACACCUAUGGCGAAGGCAGCUCUCUGGGACGGUACUGACGCUGAGACGCGAAAGCGUGGGGAGCGAACAGG
rnacentral:rRNA from 1 species